CUAUGCGCCUUGCCAGCCCGCUCAGUCAGAGUUUGAUCCUGGCUCAGAAUGAACGCUGGCGGCAGGCUUAACACAUGCAAGUCGAACGGGGUUAUGUUGUAGCUUGCUAUAAUAUAACCUAGUGGCAGACGGGUGAGUAAUGUAUAGGAAUCUACCUAGUAGUACGGAAUAAUUAUUGGAAACGAUAACUAAUACCGUAUACGCCCUACGGGGGAAAGAUUUAUUGCUAUUAGAUGAGCCUAUAUUAGAUUAGCUAGUUGGUGGGGUAAUGGCCUACCAAGGCAGUGAUCUAUAGCUGAUCUGAGAGGAUGAUCAGCCACACUGGAACUGAGAUACGGUCCAG
rnacentral:rRNA from 1 species